rnacentral:rRNA from 1 species
GUAGCUUGCUACGUGACCUAGCGGCGGACGGGUGAGUAAUGCUUAGGAAUCUGCCUAUUAGUGGGGGACAACAUUCCGAAAGGAAUGCUAAUACCGCAUACGCCCUACGGGGGAAAGCAGGGGAUCUUCGGACCUUGCGCUAAUAGAUGAGCCUAAGUCAGAUUAGCUAGUUGGUGGGGUAAAGGCCUACCAAGGCGACGAUCUGUAGCGGGUCUGAGAGGAUGAUCCGCCACACUGGGACUGAGACACGGCCCAGACUCCUACGGGAGGCAGCAGUGGGGAAUAUUGGACAAUGGGCGAAAGCCUGAUCCAGCCAUGCCGCGUGUGUGAAGAAGGCCUUUUGGUUGUAAAGCACUUUAAGCGAGGAGGAGGCUACCGAGAUUAAUACUCUUGGAUAGUGGACGUUACUCGCAGAAUAAGCACCGGCUAACUCUGUGCCAGCA